UACGUAGGGGGCAAGCGUUGUCCGGAUUUAUUGGGCGUAAAGAGCGUGUAGGCGGCUAGGUGGGUCCGUUGUGAAAACUCGAGGCUCAACCUCGAGACGUCGAUGGAAACCAUCUAGCUAGAGUCCGGAAGAGGAGAGUGGAAUUCCUGGUGUAGCGGUGAAAUGCGCAGAUAUCAGGAGGAACACCGGUGGCGAAGGCGGGUCUCUGGGCAGUAACUGACGCUGAGGAGCGAAAGCGUGGGGAGCGAACAGG
rnacentral:rRNA from 1 species